rnacentral:snRNA from 1 species
GAAAUCCGCUAAGGAGUGU